UGUUGAUACCCACACUGAUACGGGUAUGGAUCCGAAGCCUCUAGAAGGAUAAUAUAGGCACUCCAUACCCAACUCGGACUCAAUACGUCCUCGUCGUACAGGCUGGUAACAUAUCUCUCCCUUUGGGGAGAUGGGUUAUAUGGCUAAAUUUAGCGAA
rnacentral:ribozyme from 1 species